rnacentral:lncRNA from 1 species
AACAUUUCACAAAUUUAGAAAGUUUUUUAAAAAUUAAAUUUUUCGCUUCAUAGAUUUAUAUUAUCGAGUAAAUAAUUAAACAUUUAUUUUUUGUUUAAUUUUUAAAAUAAACUAUAUAGUUUAGAAUUUGUUUUCAUUCAUUGGUUUAAGGUUCACCCCUGUGGUGAAUAGUUAAAUUCACCACACUCUUCAUAACCAAUUAAAGUGCAAUGUAGAAGUAGUUAAAAAAGGCAAUAAAAAUAAAAAAAUAGCUAAAAAAAAAACAACACCGACAUUAAUUAACGCCGUCUAAGAACCUAAACUCUAAAACCAUAAAUCCCAAUCCGAAACACUAAACCCUAAAUCCAAAUCCUAAAACCCAAACUCUAAAUCUUAAACCUUAAACCCAAACUCUCAACAAUAAACCUUAAAUCCUAAAAUCUAAACCCUAAACCCAAAACUCUAAACCAUAAACCCUAAAAUCUAAACCCUAAAUCCUAAAUCCUAAACCCAAAACUCUAAACCCAAAACUUCAAAUCCUAAACCCUAAACUCUAAAUCCUAAACCCUAAACCCAAACCUCUAAACCGUAAACCCAUCUGCUAGUUUAUAAGAUUAAGGUUUACGGUUUAGAGGUUUGGGUUUAAGAUUUAAAGUUUUGGGUUUAGAGUUUAUGAUUUAGGGUUUGGGUUUAAGAUUUAAAGUUUUGGGUUUAGGGUUUAGAUUUUUGGAUUUGGGGUUUAGGGUUUAGAGUUUUGGGUUUGGGCUUUAGGGUUUAGAUUUUAGGAUUUAGGGUUUAUUGUGUAGAGUUUGGGUUUAGGGUUUAAGAUUUAGGGUUUAGAUUUUACGAUUGGGGUUUAUGGUUUAGUGUUUUGGAUUUAGGGUUUAUGGUUUUAGAGUUUAGGUUUUUAGAAUUUAAAAUUUUGCAGAUGGCGCUAAUUAAUGUCGGUGUUGUUUUUUUUCAACUAUUUAAGUUUUUAUUUUUAUUAUUUUUUUAAACUAUUCCUACAUGGCAUUUUGGUUGGUUAUGAAGAGUGUGGUGAAUUUAACCAUUCACCAUAGGGGUGAACCUAAGUAUUGUUCUUGUUUAAAUCCAGUUAUUGAUAGCCCAAUAAAAAAAUUUUGUAGGCCCAAAAUUUAAAUGAUAAGAUUAGAGAUUAAAUGCAACAUUAUUUAUA